rnacentral:rRNA from 1 species
CGGCGGACGGGUGAGUAACACGUGGAUAACCUACCUAUAAGACUGGGAUAACUUCGGGAAACCGGAGCUAAUACCGGAUAAUAUAUUGAACCGCAUGGUUCAAUAGUGAAAGACGGUUUUGCUGUCACUUAUAGAUGGAUCCGCGCCGCAUUAGCUAGUUGGUAAGGUAACGGCUUACCAAGGCAACGAUGCGUAGCCGACCUGAGAGGGUGAUCGGCCACACUGGAACUGAGACACGGUCCAGGCUCCUACGGGAGGCAGCAGGA